GAGGGUAUAGCUCAGUGGUAGAGCACAUGCUUACCAUGCAUAAGAUCCUGGGUUCAUCCCCAGUACCUCCA
rnacentral:tRNA from 1 species